AACGAACGCUGGCGGCAGGCCUAACACAUGCAAGUCGAACGCUCCAGCAAUGGAGAGUGGCAGACGGGUGAGUAACGCGUGGGAACCUUCCCUAUGGUUCGGAAUAGCCCGGGGAAACUUGGGGUAAUACCGAAUAAGCCCUUCGGGGGAAAGAUUUAUCGCCAUUGGAUGGGCCCGCGUCGGAUUAGCUAGUUGGUGGGGUAACGGCCUACCAAGGCGACGAUCCGUAGCUGGUCUGAGAGGAUAAUCAGCCACACUGGGACUGAGACACGGCCCAGACUCCUACGGGAGGCAGCAGUGGGGAAUAUUGGACAAUGGGCGCAAGCCUGAUCCAGCCAUGCCGCGUGAGUGACGAAGGCCUUAGGGUUGUAAAGCUCUUUUGGCGGGGAAGAUAAUGACGGUACCCGCAGAAUAAGCUCCGGCUAACUUCGUGCCAGCAGCCGCGGUAAUAC
rnacentral:rRNA from 1 species